rnacentral:rRNA from 1 species
CCUGCCCACUGAAAUUUUAAAUGGCCGCAGUAAUUUGACUGUGCAAAGGUAGCAUAAUCAUUAGUUUUUUAAUUAAAAGCUUGUAUGAAUGGUUGGACGAGGUAAAUUCUGUCUUUAUUUAAAUAAAAUUAGAAUUUAAUUUUUAAGUUAAAAAGCUUAAAUAAAUAUAAAAGACGAGAAGACCCUAUAGAUCUUUAUAUUAUUAUAAUAUAAUUUUAAUAAAGAAUUUUUAAUUUUUUAUAUUAUAUAGUAUUUUAUUGGGGUAAUAAAAAGAUUAAAUUAAUUCUUUUUGAUAUCUUACAUUUAUUUAUGAAUUUAAUGAUCCAAGUUUUUUGAUUAUAAGAUUAAGUUACCUUAGGGAUAACAGCGUAAUUUUUUUAGAGAGUUCAUAUCGAUAAAAAAGUUUGCGACCUCGAUGUUGGAUUAAAAAUUGUUUUAGGCGCAGAAGUUUAAAAAUUUGGUCUGUUCGACCAUUAAAUUUUUACAUGAUCUGAGUUCAGACCGGUGUAAGCCAGGUCGGUUUCUAUCUUUAUAAUUUUAUAAUAUUUUAGUACGAAAGGACCAAAUAUUUAAUAUAUUAAUAUUUAUAUUUUGAAUAUUAUUAAU